rnacentral:rRNA from 1 species
GACGAACGCUGGCGGCGUGCCUAAUACAUGCAAGUAGAACGCACAGUUUAUACCGUAGCUUGCUACACCAUAGACUGUGAGUUGCGAACGGGUGAGUAACGCGUAGGUAACCUGCCUGGUAGCGGGGGAUAACUAUUGGAAACGAUAGCUAAUACCGCAUAAUAUUAAUUAUUGCAUGAUAAUUGAUUGAAAGGUGCAAAUGCAUCACUACCAGAUGGACCUGCGUUGUAUUAGCUAGUAGGUGAGGUAACGGCUCACCUAGGCGACGAUACAUAGCCGACCUGAGAGGGUGAUCGGCCACACUGGGACUGAGACACGGCCCAGACUCCUACGGGAGGCAGCAGUAGGGAAUCUUCGGCAAUGGACGAAAGUCUGACCGAGCAACGCCGCGUGAGUGAAGAAGGUUUUCGGAUCGUAAGGCUCUGUUGUAAGAGAAGAACGGGUGUGAGAGUAGAAAGUUCAC